rnacentral:piRNA from 1 species
UGCUCACAUGGGCCUCAGAACCGUCUAUCCUU